rnacentral:rRNA from 1 species
GCUUAACACAUGCAAGUCGAGGGGCAGCAUGGUCUUAGCUUGCUAAGGCCGAUGGCGACCGGCGCACGGGUGAGUAACGCGUAUCCAACCUGCCUUACACUCUUGGACAGCCUUCUGAAAGGGAGAUUAAUACAAGAUGUUAUCAUGAGUAAGCAUUUUCGCAUGAUUAAAGGUUUACCGGUGUAAGAUGGGGAUGCGUUCCAUUAGAUAGUAGGCGGGGUAACGGCCCACCUAGUCUUCGAUGGAUAGGGGUUCUGAGAGGAAGGUCCCCCACAUUGGAACUGAGACACGGUCCAAACUCCUACGGGAGGCAGCAGUGAGGAAUAUUGGUCAAUGGACGAGAGUCUGAACCAGCCAAGUAGCGUGAAGGAUGAAGGUUCUAUGGAUUGUAAACUUCUUUUAUACGGGAAUAAACGAAUCCACGUGUGGAUUUUUGCAUGUACCGUAUGAAUAAGGAUCGGCUAACUCCGUGCCAGCAGCCGCGGUAAUACGGAGGAUCCGAGCGUUAUCCGGAUUUAUUGGGUUUAAAGGGAGCGUAGAUGGGUUGUUAAGUCAGUUGUGAAAGUUUGCGGCUCAACCGUAAAAUUGCAAUUGAUACUGGCAGUCUUGAGUACAGUUGAGGUAGGCGGAAUUCGUGGUGUAGCGGUGAAAUGCUUAGAUAUCACGAAGAACUCCGAUUGCGAAGGCAGCUUACUAACCUGUAACUGACAUUGAUGCUCGAAAGUGUGGGUAUCAAACAGGAUUAGAUACCCUGGUAGUCCACACGGUAAACGAUGAAUACUCGCUGUAGGCGAUAUACAGUCUGCGGCCAAGCGAAAGCAUUAAGUAUUCCACCUGGGGAGUACGCCGGCAACGGUGAAACUCAAAGGAAUUGACGGGGGCCCGCACAAGCGGAGGAACAUGUGGUUUAAUUCGAUGAUACGCGAGGAACCUUACCCGGGCUUAAAUUGCAACCGAAUAUGGCGGAAACGCUAUAGCUAGCAAUAGCGGUUGUGAAGGUGCUGCAUGGUUGUCGUCAGCUCGUGCCGUGAGGUGUCGGCUUAAGUGCCAUAACGAGCGCAACCCUUGCCGAUAGUUACUAACAGGUCAUGCUGAGGACUCUGUCGGGACUGCCAUCGUAAGAUGUGAGGAAGGUGGGGAUGACGUCAAAUCAGCACGGCCCUUACGUCCGGGGCUACACACGUGUUACAAUGGGGGGUACAGAGGGCUGCUACCACGCAAGUGGAUGCCAAUCCCAAAAACCUCUCUCAGUUCGGAUUGAAGUCUGCAACCCGACUUCAUGAAGCUGGAUUCGCUAGUAAUCGCGCAUCAGCCACGGCGCGGUGAAUACGUUCCCGGGCCUUGUACACACCGCCCGUCAAGCCAUGGGAGCCGGGGGUACCUGAAGUGCGUAACCGCAAGGAGCGCCCUAGGGUAAAACUGGUGACUGGGGC